GAAUAUUGGGCAAUGGGCGCAAGCCUGACCCAGCAACGCCGCGUGAAGGAAGAAGGUUUUCGGAUUGUAAACUUCUGUCCUCAGUGACGAACACAAUGACGGUAACUGAGGAGGAAGCCCAGGCUAACUACGUGCCAGCAGCCGCGGUAAUACGUAGGGGGCAAGCGUUGUCCGGAAUGACUGGGCGUAAAGGGCGUGUAGGAGGCUCUUUAAGUCUGAAGUGAAAGUCCUGCUUUCAAGGUGGGAAUUGCUUUGGAGACUGGAGAGCUUGAGUGCGGAAGAGGUAAGUGGAAUUCCCAGUGUAGCGGUGAAAUGCGUAGAGAUUGGGAGGAACACCAGUGGCGAAGGCGACUUACUGGGCCGUAACUGACGCUGAGGCGCGAAAGCGUGGGGAGCGAACA
rnacentral:rRNA from 1 species